UGCUUCGUAUCGCGAAUGCCCCAAUAAUGUGACGUUUAUUGCGUCUUUCAGAAUUUAUUUAAUUGUAUUUUAGUUUAAAUAAAUAUUCAAAGUGGUGUGCAGUUUAAGCCUGUGCAGUUUGUGGGCGUUGUAAAGACGCUGAAGUUCAUUUUUAGUAGUUUUUAAAUAUAAGGAUGACCAUCCGUCCGGAUUUCCCCGGACAUGUCCUUAUUUUAGGGUUUGUGUAGUGCCGCAUAAACCAUUUAUGUUGGAUUGAGGCGCAUGACGCAACCUGUUGCAACAAGAGCGCUGAGAGUGCGGCCCUCGAGCUAUUUGUCGGGCUUGACUGAGCACAUCCUCUCUUUCGGCCCCGCGGCUCCUCUUAUCACGAAACUGCGGAGGCCAUGAGUUCUAGGAAUAUCGUAAACCGAGGGGGCUUAUAGCGACAGUUGAGUGUUGUAAAAUGAUUUGAUGAAACAAA